UUCCAGGAAUUGGAUUUCUUCACAGACAUAAUUGUCUAACUUCAUGUCUAAAUGAUUUAAGAUUGAGCUUUUCAAUCUGACAUGAUGGGCUAGAAAACCAAGUCCCUGUUCUCCAUGUAAACAAUUGCUGGAGAUACCUGUGCAAUCAAUUUUCUUGACUCCAACAGAUGGGAAAGUAAGUGAUUGAAUCCCAGGAACCCUCCUCUGAUCCUCUCCCCCACCAACAGCUUGGUAAGUUACUCUGAGUCAUUUGCAUUUUUACAGUAUUAACCGAUUUGUAUUACCAUACUACAUUUUUAAAGUCAAGUAAAAAUGUUGGAAUAAUUUGGCAGUGGAAAUGAUUUCUAGCUCUCUGAUUUAAAUAAGGGAGAAGGAAAGCCAUUCGUCUCAUACCCAUCCUUGGGCAGAAAAUGCAUCUUUAAGAAAUUAUGGCAGAGAAUAGCUCCAUUUGGAAAGCAUUCAAAUUAAUUUCUUACAUGUCAUACUUAACACCAAUUACGCAUGUUCUUUUCUCUUUGUAUUAUCCUCAGAAUUCUUCCUGAGAAGUAACUUUAAUCUUCUUUCUGCGUUGUUUCCAAGCCUAUAUUAAAGUAACCCGUUUUUUUUUUCAAAUUCCAGAAUGAUAAAUUAAUUAGCAAGCAAAAAUGAAGUUUGGAAAUUAAACUUCUUUUCAUAUUCAAUUUUCUCAAGACCCCCAGACCUGUAGGCAACAUUUAUGGGACCUCUGAAAAAAACUUCAUUCCAUACUGUGUUGUGGUUUCCAGAAAGACAAAAUACAUUUUGGGCCAUAUCAACUUGAACAACAUACUGGGGGAUUUAGAUCUCUUCUUAUGACCCUUCGGUGGGAGAUUUCAUCGUUCUUGAAGUCCAGAGUCAUGGCUAUUUUCAUAGCCUAGAGGACAAAGGAAUUUGAUAGGAAAUACCUCUGACAAUUGUGGAAUUCAGGAUUAGAAUGGUGUAAGUACAUGAUUUAUCUCCUUCAUUUUAAAGAUUAGGAAAAUGUUAUGCAAACUUAACUAUGGGUCAAGCUGUGGGUUUGUACAGGUCUGGUUCGGUUUCCCUGUUAGUACUUUUCUCUAAGGCACUGUUCUCUAAAUAGGAGCUCUGGAAUGUGUGAUCCAGUUUCAUUCAGCUUGGUCUGAAUUUCAAUUAAUUGCUUCCUCUUAAAACUGCACCCUCCACCCCAGUCCUGGUGUCCUUCAAUACCAAAAUUCCUUCCUUUCUGACUUCUGCUUUCCUCUCUUUCUUUCCCUCCUGUCUUCUUUUCUUUCUCUCUGGUGGCUUUCUUACUAAAAGCACUGAUAUUUUUGCAGCUUAGGAGAUGGACAUUUCUCUGGAUUGUGACCUCCAACUCGGGUCUUUCCUGUCCUUCCCAGGACCCACCCGACAUCCCUGUCUAAACCUCGUCACCCUCUUCAUCCUCUUUGGUUGCUAGCCCAAGAGAACAAGGCACACAAAUCUUGCUACUAACAAAUACAAGCAAAAGAUGGUUCCCUUUGUUUUAUACAGAUUUCGAUAAAAGUGUUUAUUUACACGUGAAAUGAUAUCAAAAGCAAGUUGGUCCAGAUGAAGAAAGCAAAGGCAAGAAUAAAGCAAGAUUAUUAUUAAGACAGGGAUGACAAUGAUGAUUAUGAUGUCAAUGAUGAUAACCCUCCCUGACAUUCCUAUGCUUUUUUUCUAGAAGCAAAACCCUUUCUAGUUCACUAUCUCAUCCCAUCAUCACAAACCUGAGAGAUGAGUUAGGUUGAUGUUAUUAUUGGCAUUUUAUAUAGAAGCCAAGGCUUGGGUAAAUGAACUCAUGUGCCCCAAGACUCCACUCCAGGAAAGGAGAUGAAAUCAGGGUCUAGACCAAUAUUUUAGGACUCUGAGACCUGGACUGGGCUGCUCCUCUGGAAUGCAGUCUGAUCAGGGGUUGAGUCAAAAGAUAUCCCACAUUAGCAGGUAAUAAGGUAAUUAAACUAUCACCCUAUACCCAAGGUUUGGGUAAACACAGGGGAAAAACAGAUGAUGACAGGCCAAUAAAACCUGGGAACUGUUCACUAAAGGAGAUUGUGUAAUCGCACCUUAAUGGAGGGCUUACCUGAAGCAACAGGUUCCUAGCUGCUCCCUAAAGCAUUCCAAGACACAUUUCCAGAAGACUAUUAGGCAAUAUUAUCAGAAACACCAAAGAUAUAAUUUAGCAAAUUACUCAGCAUCUCCUCAUUUGUGAAUAAUGUCUUCCUUGUUUGUGAAUAAUGGAGUUUGGGGAGGGUUAAAUAAUGUUCUGUAAAGUGCCUGGCACUGAAGUUACACUCAAAAAAUAUCACCAGCAUUUUACGUUUAAUGGUAAUAUUUUGACUUGUAAGAGGAAAUAGCAACCACAAAGAUUUAGCGACAAAGGUUGGUUGCUAUUUUUAUAAACAGCACUGAAACGUUGGAAACAAGCUAUUGUCCAGCAACAGGGAAUUAGUAGAAUAUAUGUGAUAUUUCUCAAAUAUUAGAGAGUCAUUAAAAAAGACAUAAAACAUGUUAUUACAUGAUAAGAUGUUCAUGACUUAUUGUAUUUUAAAAAGCAAGCUAUAAAUUGUUAAGUACAGUACAGUGUGUUUUUGUAUACAUACAUAGAAAUAUAGAUAAAAAUCAGGAUGGGUUUAUAUUAUUAUGUUAGCAAUGAUCAACCCCAGAAGAGAGAAUUAUGAAUGAUUUUUAUUUUCUUUUUGCUAAUUUAUAUUUACAUUUUCCAGUAGACAUGUACUUCAUGUAAAAUAGACUUAUAUUUAUUUUUAAGCUUCAAGCUUUCUUACCUCCCCUUGUCUUCCUCAGUUGAUUAGGCCCCUUGAGACAGACAACAUUCACUGAAGUCAAUUAACAAGUGUUUUUGGUGGUGGCCUAGGCUCUUUCCAGGCACUGGAUGGAGAGGUAAACAAGGUGAACAAAAUUGCCUAACAACUUUAGUGGAGGAAAGACCCUAAACAAACAACUAAAGAAGGACAGUAGAUCCCACACUCAGAUGGGAUAGGAAUUUUGGGGGAAGUGGUGAGUUACAAUUCCCAGGAAUAUGCCCGCCCUACCCCUCCAAGUCCCUUACAAUCACAGCUUCUACGUCACUUAUUUGGGUAAAGGCUGCUUAUCUCAGGUAACAUGCUGUGUCAAUAUUGGUAAUUUAUACCCUGGUAUGAGUCAUUUCCUGAGAGCAGAUUAUCUGACCUUGAAGGGAAGAGAGCUGGGAAUGAAAGUACACUGAAGAAGAGAUGGGCUGAAGGAGUAUGGUUUCACAGAUUCCCACCUUCAGAAAUGUGAGGACAUGAACUUAGGGUGGGGUAGGGUGGAGCCUGAGUGUGCAAUAGCCACCCCAGUGGAGAAUGGGCAUGCUGGUAGGUUCCCACUUCUUCACACACUGAAUCAGUCUUGAUUCUGAGACCUUUUCCAUAGAUUACAAAACAAACAUCAACAUCCCUCCUCUUUCUCUUGUCUUUCCUCUUCCUCCCUGCCCCUAUCCCAUCUUCCUCUUCUGUUUUUCAAAUGCUAAUCUACGUUUUAAAGCUUGAUCUUCCCCUCAUGACAUCACUUGUUUCAAUCCAAGUCCAGCCAGAAAGUUUCCCGAUUCUCUGACAUCACUUCAUCAGAUGACAUUUCUCCACGUACUCUCAUGCAGUUAUAAUUUUUGUAGAUAUAGGCAUAGAGCACAUGUAAACACUCCACCCCUUUUAUGAGAGUCAAUGAUCACUAAGGUCAAGGGGAAUGUCUAUGGAUCUUUGGUUCCAUAACAACAUUAAAUAGACAUACAAACAAAAUCAUUCCAUUAUGCUUGAUUUCCAUUCUCAUCUUUGGCCCUCAACACAUAGAAAGAGGUGAAACCUUGGGUCUGGAAGAAUUUGAGACAUUGAGCUGGUAUUUAAUCAAAGGGUGAUUGAGGGAUUCUAGCUGCCAAUCUGACUGAGUUGGUGAGGCUAAUACUGUGAUAAUUGUAUGAUAAUCUUGGAUGUAUUCAAAGGAUCUUGGUUUCCAGAGGGAAAGGCAGAACCAGAAGAAGAGAAACAUGCGUGGAUGGCAAGACAUUGAAAAAACAAGCUAGAGUUUAACAAAUGAGUUGAAUCCCAUGUUCCAGUUGCAUACCUGGUAGGAUUAUCACCCCUGCCCCUCAGUGUAGAUUCAAUUGUCUUUAAAAGCUCUUGAGUUCCAGUAAGGAGAGAGGCUUGAAUGCCUGGCAUGUGUAUUUAUAGUCUGUUAGAGACAGGAGAGCGAUCACAUUAAUUCUAGAGUGUAUCUCCUUCUCUCCCAUAACCUAAAUAAACUUCACCCAGCCGUGUGGUAUUCUAAUCCCUCCCUCACUGUUGCUGUAUCCACCACUUUUUAUUGUUUCCUUAGCAACUGCACAGCAAGAAGAGCAGGACAGAGAAGCUAUAAAAGGAGCAACAAUAAACAAAAUGAAUUUUAACAAAGGUGACUUCCUCUCUGGGUCUCCAGCCUGCACUCCCCUCUCAGGUUCAGGUCUGCAAUUUGAAUGAUCUGUUGAUAUUUCCAUUGGGAUGUCCUUCGUCAUCUUGCACUUGCCUAAGUGGGUAUCAUCUAAAGCAUUUGUUUUACAAUUUAAGGCCAUUCAGCUAGGAAGUCCCCUGAAUGGUGCGUGGAACGAGUUCUGGAUUCAGAGGCAGAGUGGACAGUGAGAGAGAGAGAGAGAGAGAGACAGAAAGAAAGAUCCUUUUCCGUUGGUUCACCCUCCAAUGGCUGCUCUGGCGGUGUGCUGCGGCAGGUGCGCCGCGCUGAUCCGAAGCCAGGAGCCAGGUGCUUCUCCUGGUCUCCCAUGCAGGUGCAGGGCCCAAGGACAUGGGCCAUCUUCCACUGCACUCCUGGGCCACAGCAGAGAGCUGGACUGGAAGAAGAGCAACUGGGACAGAAUCCAGCGCCCCAACCGGGACUAGAACUCAGGGUGCCGGCACCACAGGCGGAGGAGGAUUAGCCAAGUGAGCCGCUGCGCUGGCCGGACUGUAUCCUUUUUGUCAGGCAUUCUACAUCCCACAGUGAAGCUUUGCCCUGAUAUUGAGGCAGAAACUCCUUGGAAACACAUAUCGAGUGGCACUGGAGCUAAACAGUUUGCUUCUCAUGAGGGAAAGGCAGCUCUCAGAUGGCUGGUUUUCAAAAACCCUAAUCCAUUCCAUUAGUUCUCAGAUGUGUAAAUCAGAACCCCAACCUCAGAAUCAGGCCAGUGCAUAGCCCAAGAAUCGCUACCUGCAGGCAUUUUCUCAGCCAGGAUGUGGCUGUACAGUGGAGCUCUUUGUGUGCUCUGGGCAGAGGGAUUCCACUGGGCUGAUUGCUUCAGGGCUUGUUUUCCAAAUGGGAAGGUUAUACCCCCUGGUGGAUGGGUCUCUCCAAAACAAAUAGUCCUUUCGGGCCACCAAGUCCAGUGCCCUGUGCUGAGCCCCAAAUCCUGGGGAACAGAGAUGACCAGUGAACUCUUUAUCUAUGCUAUCAAAUACCACUGCUCCUAAGGAGAGUCUUACAUUCGUUAAGUUUCUGCUGCAGAAGGUCAAGCUCCAACCACAGAAAUGGAAAAAAAAAUCAUCCAAGGAGGCAAUAUUGGAAGAAACCAGAUAAUGUGAAAUGCCAGCAAUUGGCAUGCCAUGCCUUACCAAGAAGCCAUAAACUGGCCCAAAGACCCCACUCUUACCUUGUGGGAAGUGCCUGUAGUCCUUUUAGCCUUUAUGGUCUUUUUUACUUGGUAUUUGUCAAGCUCUUUAUUUGGUGGAACCAAUAAGCCUUUAACUAUAAUGUAAAUAGAAAUGUUAUCUCAAAAAGUAAUAAAUAUUAUAUAUUUUAAAGUGAAUACAUAAACAAUGAUGCUAUGGUAUGUUAAAACACAUUGCUUUUCAGUUUUUCAACAUAACUUUCUGAUAUUAUCUACCUCCACCCACUCUAACUGAAAUGGCAAACUUUCCUUUUAUCCUUAUCCUACUUGAUUUGCUUUCAUGAAGCUCAUUACUAUCUGGCUACGUUUAUACCCCAUGUCUCCUAUUGUUUAUUUUAUUACUGUUUAGUUGCUUGUCUCAAAGGUAGACUCUCUCAGAAUGGGAUUUUUUAUUUUGCAGUUUAUCACAUUCCCAGAGACUAGUAAUUACUUCACCAGUAAUUGUGGAAAGUGAACUUUUUCUGUGGAGGCAGCUAUGAGAGGUUAAAUAAUUUCCCCCAGGCCUUUUAAGUCUAAAUUCGAUGCAAUUUUUAUUCCUCUCUAUUUUCUGUAUCAAGAGCCCAAAGCACAGAUUUUAGCAAACCAAGGCUACAGAGUUACAAAGUGGGACAACGGGAGAGCUCAGACUAGAACCCAGGUCUUCUGAUACUUAGUCACCCAGCCUUGUUUUUGCAGUUGUGGGCAAGCUGAGGAUUUUGUUCUAUCAAGUGAACUUAAUGCUGAGGUUAGAAGUUGCUCUUUCAUCAUCUUGCUUUUUCCACGGUGGCUGGUUGGCCUCUUGUGUUAUGGGUGUGUAAAGGCACAGCAUGCUUAUCUCAGCACUGUGCAACCUGCUUUGGCCCCAUGUCUAGUCCACCUAUCUACUAUCAACAUGACCUAACAGGAAACACCUUGAACACAGUUACACAUGAGUAACAUGACUGCUGGGAUGCAUGUCUCCACGUUUCUACAUGAGAAGAGCUUAAGUCCUGUGGAAGUUCAGAACACAUCUCAUUUAUCUUGCUUAAGCAUUUUCAAGGUUAUUUGACAAUUCAUUUUCCACCCUAGUAAGUAAAGCUGAACCCCUAUCACCUGGCUUUCAUCUCUGCAUCUCUACCUUUGUCUCUUCUGAGGGCUGAAAGUACCUAUCAGCACCGAGCACACCCAAGAGCUUUGGUUGCCAUAUUGUGGGAGCUACAGAGGUUAUUCCUUAAGGCCAUUUGAUGGUAGAGCCAAGAACAACCGAAAUCCAUCAGCUGGAAGUCAAAAUCACAGGCAAACAGGUUGGUGCAGCUUAUAUCCCUGAAAUAGCUUGCUGAAGGAGCUAGUUCUACUGAGAAAAAACACCUAGGAGGGUACUUCAAGGAUUUUAUGGAAAAUGGAAUUAAAAUAUAAGUCUAUUUUGGUGCAAAAAACCUUUGAAAUUCAUGCAUAAUUUUCCCAUAGUACAUAUUUUCACUAUUUGAAGACCUCUCAUAUGCGUGGAUUUCAAAACUUUUUAUACCAAAAUGAAUUGACCUUUAAAUCUUAUUUUUCACAAACUUUUUAAAAGAUGCUUUACUUAUUUAUUUGAAAGGCAGAGUUACAAAGACACACACACACACACACACACCCAGAAAGAGAGAUCUCCUAUCUGCUGAUUCACUUCCCAAAUGACCAUAAUGGCUGGGACUUGGCCAAGCCAAAGCCAGGAUCCUGGAAGUCAAUCUGGCUCUCCUACAUGGGUGGCAGGGGACCAAGCACUUGGGCCAUCUUCUGCUGCUUUCCCAGGUGCGUUAGCAGGGAGCUGAAUUGGAAAUGGAGAAGCUGGGACUUGAACCAGUGCCUAUAUGGAAUGCUCGUGUAGCAGGCAGUGGUUUAGCCCACUGUGCCACAGUGCCAGUCUUCAGUGUUCUUUUGUACAUCAGAACUGUCUUCUUAAACUAGCAGUAAUGUUCUGGUUAAAAUAAAAAGUCAUAGAAAUAAUUAGUAUUUUCUUUGGGGAGGGAGAGGAAAACAGAGGGAGAUUCUAAAAUGCUGGCUGAAUCAAAUGAAAUAAUGACAAUAAAAGAAGUCCAGAGAAUAAAAGCCAGGGGCAGGUCUCGUGGGGCAGUGAGUUAUGCCACUGCUUCGGAUGCCCACAUUCUAUAACAGAGUGCCCAGAUUCAAAUUGUGCCUCUACUUCCCAUCCAGUUUCUUCUUCUUCUGCUUUUUUUUUUUUUUUUUU